GAGUUUGAUCAUGGCUCAGGAUAAACGGCUGGCGGCGUGCAUAACACAUUCAAGUCGAACGGGGUCACCGAGUAGCAAUAUGAGGUGACGUUAGUGGCGGACGGGUGAGUAACGCAUGAGCAACCUGCCCCCAUGAGUGGAAUAACGUCGGGAAACCGACGCUAAUACCGCAUAAGGCACCGAGAUCGCAUGAUCAUGGUGUUAAAGAUUCAUCGCAUGGGGAUGGGCUCGUGUUGGAUUAGUUAGUUGGUGAGGUAACGGCUCACCAAGACCGCGAUCCAUAGCCGGACUGAGAGGUUGAACGGCCACAUUGGAACUGAGAAACGGUCCAGACUCCUACGGGAGGCAGCAGUGGGGAAUAUUGGGCAAUGGGCGAAAAAGCCUGACCCAGCGACGCCGCGUGAGGGAAGAAGGUCUUCGGAUUGUAAACCUCUGUUGACAGGGACGAAAGAAAUGACGGUACCUGUCGAGGAAGCCACGACUAACUACGUGCCAGCCGCGGC
rnacentral:rRNA from 1 species